GCGGGCGUAGUUCAGUGGUAAAACGUCAGCUUCCCAAGCUGAAUGUCGUCGGUUCGAUCCCGAUCGCCCGCU
rnacentral:tRNA from 1 species